ensembl:lncRNA
CCACCCCCAUCACCCUGCCUCCAAGUCCGGGGGCUCCUCCGCCUCAGACUCAGGCUUUCUCAUGGGGCUCCAGUUUUCCAGCCCCAGACCCAGCACACUGAGGCAGGCUGUCGGCUCACCUUCCCCGCAGUCCUCCCCUGCAUAGCCGUCUUGGCAGACGCAGCUGCCCUCACGACACUCUCCCCGGCCGCGGCAAUCCCCAGGGCACGUCUGGAUGGCACAGUCGGGCCCCCGGAAGCCCUCGACGCAGACACACUGGCCUGCGCUGCACAGUUCCCGUGGCCCGCAGCCCCCGGGGCAGGCGCUGGCAGGAGGCUCUUCCUGCCCACAGUCCUCGCCGCUGUAGCCCACGUGGCACACGCACACACCCUGCACACAGCGACCACGGCCCCGGCAGUCGGCCGGGCAGGUGCGGGUGGCGCAGGAGGGGCCUGUGUAGCCCGAGUCGCACACGCAGCGCCCGUUCUCGCAGCGGCCGCGCCGGUGACAGUUGGAGGGGCAGACACGGAGGCCGCAGUCCUCGCCCGCGAAGCCCUCCCAACAGGUGCACACACCAUCCUGGCACACGCCGCGCUGGUUGCAGUCGCGCGGGCACCGUCUCACACCGCAGUCCUCACCCUCGUAGCCGUCGUCGCACACGCAGCGCCCCUCCAGGCACUGGCCGCGGCCUUGGCAACCCCUGGGGCAGCUGCGCUUGCCGCAGUCUUCGCCCUCGUAGCCCACGUCGCACGAGCACACGCCAUCUUCGCAGCGGCCGCGACCGCGACAGUCCCCGGGACACCGACGGCUCCCGCAGUCCUCUCCUGCGAAGCCCGGGUUGCACACGCAGCGGCCGUCUACGCAGCGCCCGCGCCCGCGACAGUCGCCAGGGCAGGCACGCGUACCGCAGUCCCGGCCUGUGUACCCGGGCCAACACACGCAGCGGCCACUCUCGCAACGGCCCCGGCCGCGACAGUCCCCGGGACAGCUGCGCACGCCGCAGUCCUCGCCACUGUAGCCCGCGUGGCACACGCAUACGCCGUUCUCGCAGCGCCCGCGGCCCCGACAGUCGCGCGGGCAGGCGCGCGCGCCGCAGUCGGGCCCCGAGUACCCGGGCCAGCACACGCAGCGGCCGUCCUCGCAGCGGCCUCUUUGGUUGCAGUCGCUCGGGCAGCUGCGCACGCCGCAGUCGUCCCCGCUGUACCCCGGGUCGCAGAUGCAUUCGCCAUCCUCGCAACGCCCUCGGCCCCGACAGUCGCGGGGACAGGUCCGCGUGCUGCAGUCCUCGCCCGCGUACCCGGGCCAGCACACGCAGCGGCCGUCCACAGCGCCCGCCCUCGCCACAGUCCCACGGGCAGGUCCGCGAGCCGCAGUCGUCGCCAGUGUAGCCCGGGUCACAGACGCAGCGCCCGUCCUCGCAGCGCCCCUUCUGGCUGCAUCCUCGGGGACAGCUCCUCACCCCACAGUCGUCGCCAGUGUAACCGGGGUUGCACACGCAUACGCCGUUCUCGCAGCGCCCGCGGCCCGACAGUCGCGCGGGCAGGCGCGCGCGCCGCAGUCGGGCCCCGAGUACCCGGGCCAGCACACGCAGCGGCCGUCCUCGCAGCGGCCCCUUUGGUUGCAGUCGCUCGGGCAGCUGCGCACGCCGCAGUCGUCCCCGCUGUACCCUGGGUCGCAGAUGCAUUCGCCAUCCUCGCAACGCCCUCGGCCCCGACAGUCGCGGGGACAGGUCCGCGUGCUGCAGUCCUCGCCCGCGUACCCGGGCCAGCACACGCAGCGGCCGUCCACACAGCGCCCGCCCUCGCCACAGUCCCACGGGCAGGUCCGCGAGCCGCAGUCGUCGCCAGUGUAGCCCGGGUCACAGACGCAGCGCCCGUCCUCGCAGCGCCCCUUCUGGCUGCAGCCUCGGGGACAGCUCCUCACCCCACAGUCGUCGCCAGUGUAACCGGGGUUGCACACGCAGCGCCCAUUCUCGCAGCGUCCUCUCUGGCUACAGUCUCGGGGACAGCUCCUCACCCCACAGUCCUCGCCACUGUAGCCUGGAUCACAGACGCAGCGCCCGUCCUCGCAGCGCCCCUUCUGGCUGCAGCCUCGGGGACAGCUCCUCACCCCACAGUCGUCGCCAGUGUAGCCCGGGUCACAGACGCAGCGCCCGUCCUCGCAGCGCCCCUUCUGGCUGCAUCCUCGGGGACAGCUCCUCACCCCACAGUCGUCGCCAGUGUAACCGGGGUUGCACACGCAGCGUCCAUUCUCGCAGCGUCCUCUCUGGCUACAGUCUCGGGGACAGCUCCUCACCCCACAGUCCUCGCCACUGUAGCCUGGAUUGCACACGCAGCGCCCGUCCUCGCAGCGUCCCCUUUGGCUGCAGCCGCGAGGGCAGGAGCGCACACUGCAGUCGUCCCCAGAGAAGCCCGAGCGGCACACGCACACACCCUGCACGCAGCGCCCGCGGCCGUGGCAGUCCCCGGGGCAGGAGGGCCAGCUACAACUGGGCCCUGUGUAGCCAGGGAAGCACACGCAGCGACCACGGACGCAGCGACCCUGAUCAUUGCAGUCAUCUGGGCAGGAACCAGGGGCAGAGGGUGGUGA